rnacentral:lncRNA from 1 species
UUCAGUUCAACUGUAUUUUAUUUUUCAAAUCCUUUUACAAAUAUGCCGAUUACCAUCAAAGCAUACAUUAUGGAUAACUUGUGUUGUCUCUUUUAUCUACAACAGAAAACAUUUAUCUUCAUCAUGAUCAACUCAUUUCCAUAUUAUUCCAUAGAGGCAUAUACUUAAACAAUUUAAACAUUCCGUGCAGCUUCGUAACCCGGAUUUGUUUUCUCUACAUCGAACAGCGAUAUACUACUUUUUCCUUAUUUUUGUAUCCAGUAUGUACAAAAAUAGAGUGUUAUUAAUCAUUUAAAUGCUGAGAGUAAAGGUCAAAGGCCUCGACAGUUGUUGUCUUUAUCUUAAUAAAUGCUUUUAUUAUUUAGAGAAUCUGGUGGCAAAUGUAUAUUGUUUUUUUUUAAUUAUUAUUUUGUCAUAACUUCUUGAUUGUCAGACGAAUUAAAGGUGGAACGAAUUUUGAGAUAAAAAUAUUGUAUCUCAGGGUCGCUAUCUGUAUAUGUUAUCCUCUAGAUGUUUUUGGUUAUUCAUGUUGUUCGGUCGAUGUAUAAGCUCUAUGUAUGAUGCCUAUAUGUGCUUUUUUAUGUUUUUUGGUAGUUGUAUCACUGAUGUAUAACCUGUUUUGCUUUGUUUUAGAUCAAAUAUAUAGAAGUAAGUUUUUUACAUACCCAGCAAAUGGACAAUUACAUUGACAACUGGUUCUAGUCCAAGACCACCAUCGUCGUCUAAUCACACAUGUUCCACCAAUACAUCCCCUUCUUAGGCGGCGACAACAGAAGCUACAAGCUAAAUUUGACCGACAUCUUCCCCAAAAACAU